UACGGAGGGGGCUAGCGUUGUUCGGAAUUACUGGGCGUAAAGGGCGCGUAGGCGGUCUAUCGAGUUAGGCGUGAAAGGCCUGGGCUUAACCCAGGAAUGUCGCUUGAUACUGAUAGGCUUGAGAUCGGGAGAGGAGAGUGGAAUUCCCAGUGUAGAGGUGAAAUUCGUAGAUAUUGGGAAGAACACCGGUGGCGAAGGCGGCUCUCUGGCCCGCAUCUGACGCUAAGGCGCGAAAGCGUGGGGAGCAAACAGG
rnacentral:rRNA from 1 species